UACGUAGGGUGCGAGCGUUACUCGGAAUUACUGGGCGUAAAGCGUGCGCAGGCGGCUUUGCAAGACAGAUGUGAAAUCCCCGGGCUUAACCUGGGAACUGCAUUUGUGACUGCACGGCUAGAGUGUGUCAGAGGGGGGUAGAAUUCCACGUGUAGCAGUGAAAUGCGUAGAGAUGUGGAGGAAUACCGAUGGCGAAGGCAGCCCCCUGGGAUAACACUGACGCUCAUGCACGAAAGCGUGGGGAGCAAACAGG
rnacentral:rRNA from 1 species